rnacentral:rRNA from 1 species
GUAGGGAAUAUUGCACAAUGGAGGAAACUCUGAUGCAGCGACGCCGCGUGAGUGAUGAAGGCCUUCGGGUCGUAAAGCUCUGUCGCAGGGGAAUAACACAAUGAAGGUACCCUGUAAGAAAGGAUCGGCUAACUUCGUGCCAGCAGCCGCGGUAAGACGAGGGAUCCUAGCGUUGUUCGGAAUCAUUGGGCGUAAAGCGGAUGUAGGUGGCUAUGUAAGUCAGAUGUGAAAGCCUGGGGCUCAACCCCAGAAGUGCAUUUGAUACUGCGUAGCUUGAGUGGCGGAGAGGUUACUAGAAUUGUUGGUGUAGUGGUGAAAUACGUAGAUAUCAACAGGAAUACCGGAGGCGAAGGCGGGUAACUGGCCGAACACUGACACUGAGAUCCGAAAGCGUGGGGAUCAAACAGGAUUAGAAACCCGGGUAGUCC